rnacentral:rRNA from 1 species
CCUACGGGAGGCAGCAGUGAGGAAUAUUGGUCAAUGGCCGGGAGGCUGAACCAGCCAAGUCGCGUGAGGGCAGACGGCCCUACGGGUUGUAAACCUCUUUUGGCAGGGAGCAAGGUGCAGGUCGGGACCUGCUGUGAGAGUACCUGAAGAAAAAGCAUCGGCUAAAUCCGUGCCAGCAGCCGCGGUAAUACGGAGGAUGCGAGCGUUAUCCGGAUUUAUUGUGUUUAAAGGGUGCGCAGGCGGAGGCACAAGUCAGCGGGAAAAUCGCGGGGCUCAACCCCGCUCCGCCGUUGAAACUGUGUCCCUGGAGUGCGCGAAGGGUAGGCGGAAUGCGUGGUGUAGCGGUGAAAUGCAUAGAUAUCACGCAGAACUCCGAUCGCGAAGGCAGCCUACCGGCGCGCAACUGACGCUCAUGCACGAAAGCGUGGGUAUCGAACAGGAUUAGAUACCCCUGUAGUC